rnacentral:misc_RNA from 1 species
GCAAACUUGGUCAUUUAGAGGAAGUAAAAGUCGUAACAAGGUUUCCGUAGGUGAACCUGCGGAAGGAUCAUUAUUGAAAACCUUUGUAGGUUGUGGUUGAGCUGGCCUUUCGAGGCAUGUGCUUGCUUAACAGCCUUCAAAAAUCUUCAUCCCACCUGUGCACAUUUUGUAGGAAGGAAUGAUUUCCAAAGUAAAGGAACUCUCAUGGGGGGUUGCUUGAAAGAAGGGGUCUUUUCUAUCCUAUGUUUUUACACACACAAUUGAAUGUUUUAGAAUGUCUUUAUUUUGAAGAGUGUAACAACUCUUUUAAAAACAUAAUACAACUUUCAGCAACGGAUCUCUUGGCUCUCGCAUCGAUGAAGAACGCAGC